UAGCCUAGUGGUUAAGGCUAUGGAUCGCCAAUCCGAAGACGGCGGGUGCGAUUCCCGU
rnacentral:tRNA from 1 species